rnacentral:misc_RNA from 1 species
UUGUUUUAUUCAAUCAAAGAGCAUUUUUUUUGCUAAGAACACAAUUUAAAUCAGAUAAUAUAUAUCAACUGAACUCUUUGUAAUGAUGUUCAUGCAUAAAAAAUGCUCUUUGAUUGAAUAAAACAAACACCACCACCACCACCACCUAUAUAUUACAUCACAUGAUCCAGCAAGUUCCCAGUAAUUAUAUUAUAAGAGGAAAAUCGUUGCUUCAUCCAAAUUACAGGUUUCCAUAAGAAAUGACAAACAGACUUCCAUUGGAAUGGGAUUAAGGUACAUCUCACUUACUACCAUCACCAAAGAGGUAUCCCAGAGAAGAUCCACCACCAGGGGCAGCAUGGACUUUGGUUGAAGGUCGAUCCGUGAUGAAGUUUCCAGCAUUUUGGCCAUCUGCCCGCAUAUAGUUGUUUGCAGAAGAACUAUUAAUACC